rnacentral:rRNA from 1 species
UACGGAGGGGGCAAACGUUGUUCGGAAUUACUGGGCGUAAAGGGUGCGUAGGCGGUUCGAUAAGUCUUGCGUGAAAUCUCUCGGCUUACCCGGGAAACUGCGCUGGAAACUGUCGAGCUCGAGGAUGGGAGAGGCAGAUGGAAUUCCUGGUGUAGCGGUGGAAUGCGUAGAUAUCAGGAAGAACACUCAUGGCGAAGGCAGUCUGCUGGCCCACACCUGACGCUGAGGCACGAAAGCCAGGGGAG